rnacentral:lncRNA from 1 species
AAAAGGAUUUGGAAUUAGCAUGUGCUCUAAGCAUUAAGGUUUAUAGGAGUUUGGUGAGAAGUCUAUGUAAAAAAGAUGUGGUAUGAUUGCUUAUGAAACAACUCUUCAUAGGAGACCAAACGAUACAGAAAUUAACAGCUAAAGUUCACUGUAAGGGCCUUCAACAAUGAGCAAAGCCCAUACUGCAUAACUAGCUUUAAAAGGCCCAGAAAUCACAAAUUUAAAACAAUUCAAACGAGAAA